AAAUACGAGAACAACAAGUCCACUGGACUGAACCGUGCAAGUCCAUUGGCCACCUGAGCAAGAGUCACUGCAGGCGUCGUAAGGCUAGAAGCCAGAAGCCCAGCUGCUCCGCAGGAAGGUUCAAGGAGCAGUGAGGAGGGGGGAGAGAGAACAGGAACCAAAGCUGGUUUUAAAAUACUGUCUUUCUGAAAAUGUCUUGACAUCUGAUAAUGAAGACUCAGUCCAUGAAGAAGGCAAAUUACGUGGUGUUCUGGGAAGAUGGCAAGACAUUUUCCAGUAGGGGAGAGGGAGGCCUAUUGAAGAGAGAACAAGAGGUUUCAUCUCUGAAGAUUUCACAGACCAUGGAGGGCCCACAGCAAGGACCUGUCUGAAGAAAGGGGUCCCAACAGCACCUACCAGCCAUAACAAGACAUCACUAUGUCAAGGAACACGGGCAUUUCUCCCAGAACACAUGUGCAGUGCUCACAAUGGCCAAGAGGCUGCUGCAUGGUCUGAGUGCCGGGCCACCACCACCACAGAGAUGAGCAGUGUCCUCACUCCCACCCUGUCUCCAUCCUCAGCCCUGAGCACACAUUAAUGUCAGCAAGGAUUAUGGGAGAGACAAAGAAGUCAUACAAUUCAUCAAGCCAAGGAAAACGAAAGCAGAUGAGAGGAAGAACCCCUGGCAUUGAGCCUCCCAAAGGCUGGAUGGCAUUCUGCAAAUGGGGAAGGGGCCGCAGUCAGUGGACUGCGGGUGGUGCACAGGACAGAUACAGGCGCCUGAGACUUGGGGGAGGCUGAGGAGGGGUGCUGAGUAAGCCCUGGAGAUGCUCUGUGACCCUCAUGAAGAAUUAACCACGUAAGUGCACUCGGUGCCAGGCUGCAUGCAGCCCUAAGCCAUGAUACUGCAGAGACCCGCCUGUCACUCCCACAGAGCUUAGGGCCACACUGCUUCCCCAAAUGGCAUAACUGCUCAGUCUGGGGUGGCCCCACAAAACUGAAAAGGACCAAUGGCUGCCUUCUUCUUAAGGGAAGUAUUUCACAUGUCAAGACAGUGCCCUGGAAGAAUAUUCCUGUGAAAUGUCUGCUCUGCAAAAUAUGCAGUCUACCCAUGUACUUCACCACUACAGGAAAUGAAAAGAUCUAUAAGAUGUAUUUUUAAACAAAAAGGACAUUUCCAAAAACAAAGUAAAAUUGAAGUUUCUGUGUUUUAGAUAGUAAGACUUUCUUUCAAUAAUGAACACUUAGAGCUGAACAAAAACUGGUGUCAUCUAUCAAAAACAUAUCAAGAUGCUUUUGCAGGGAUCCUGGGAAAGGCCUGCAUGACCUCCUCAGGGUCUCUAGUCUCUAAGGGACGAGUACCUUAAAAUUAGAUCUAAACCACAUCUAAGCCAAUUAAAACAAGUAAUUGCCAGGGAAGUUGUAUGAGUGUAAUCAAAUACUCCGUCCACACCAGCGGCCUCUUGCAGCGCACAGUGGGUCUCCCAAGCUUUAUGUCUUUAGGAUCUUGGUUUUUAUAAUGACUCUACUUAACAGAGUGCUUCCUAUGAUUCCAAACUCAGGCUUUUCUGGACUGUAUGAAGAAAACAAAAGUUUGGAGAGGUGUUUGUUACGUUUAACUUUGUUGCUAUGUUAAAAAUUAAUAAAUAAAUAACCUUGGACAUGUUUAUUUCAUUGGGUCUGUCUGUAUUUAACAUACCAAAAAAGAAACGUUCUUUCUUAAUGCUAUUCUCAGCAUCUUAAGAGCACUCUUCGAAUUUAAGUAAUAAAGCAUUCCCUAGGCAUCUAAUCCAUGCCAGGCACUGGGGUUAAGCAAUGCACAGGGCACAAAGUGCAAACUGUAGAGACUCCAACUACUGGAUUGGUCGUCAGGCUGAGGGUGUUAGGGGACAAAAGGAGGGAAGUAGGCCCAAGAAAAGGCGACUGCCAAACUCAGUCUUGAAUAUCCUAGAUACUUGCUCGAUAAGAAGUCAGGGAACAAUACUCUGAGCAGAAGGAAAAGGAGUAAGAGUAGAGAGGUGUGAAGGAUCCACAUCACACAUGGAGGCCUGGAAAGAGUAUGGGAAGGCAAGAGCUCAGGCUCCAUGGGCCAAGGGUGGGGCCAGAUCACCACUGGCUUUCUGCCCUGGCCCCGCUGGUCUAUACCCAGAGUGCAGUGGGGGUCACUGAAGGCUUUCAGUUUUUUUUCUUCUGAGCAGGUCAGUGCACUGGUAAGGAGAUGUUCGGUAAAGAGAUUCAGGUGUGGGUCUGUCCUUGCAAAGGCUGGUUGGCUUUAGACAGAGAAAAGCCACCAUUUAGGAGCCACUGACAAGACCCCGCCAAUUUCUCCCAGCAGAUUCACAAGUACAUGCUGCCAGCUGCAGGAUGCUGGACUCCCCAGUGCUCCUAGACCCCUACUUCCAAAGCCAAGCCGCCAGGUGUGCACUAGUGAGGCUGGGAGAGCUCAGCCUAGAAGCCUCUGACUGGGGAGGCCUCAGCUACAGGGUUCCUCUGGGUGUAUGAUGAAGGAAUAUGCCUGAAGGGUUGAAGGAAGGGUUCCUCCUCAAAGUUUUGCUUGAGGAAGGGGCUCCUAAACUUAUCUGAAAACAUUUGGGGGCAAGAACUAUAUCCCUUACAAUCACCCAUACCUAGUACCUAUAUGCUUAAACAUUUAGUACCUUUUCUCUCUCUGGACAUUUUAAAAAUUAACUUUUAAAUAAUAGUAAAGAAAAAUGUUACCUAUAAACUCACUUCCCCAAUCCAAUUAUUUUCAUUUUUGUCCAUCUUCUAAUCCUCACACAUUUACAUUCUGGAAAAUUGUUUUAAAAACCAAUAAUCUUAGAAAAGUGAGUUAACUUCCCACCUCUGAAAAUCACUGCUCAGGAAAGCCAGCAGGCAGCUCAGAACACUGUGGCCAACUUCCUUUCCCCUCUUCUCUUUCAAGCCACCUCAAAACAGGCAAGGGGCUUUACCAAGCAGGAAGUAAAGGGAACCUUAAAUUCAGCUGACUCUAGCACUUUGCAAAUUACUUGCUGAGAAUGUCACAAAUAAUCCCUUUCCUUUGAAGACAUUUCAGCAGCCCUGUUACUGUGUUAAUGUGACCUGGAACUCUAUCUGAAACUCCCCAUGAUAUAAAGGUGCAAUUUUCCUAAGUAGGAAAACAAUAAACACAAAGCACAAGGUGAGGAAGCGAACUUAUUCCUGCAUCUCUUUUCCAGCCACCUGUGACUUUGUCAAGCGCUAUCUCUCUCCUUACCACUCUGCUGGGAGGCUGUAGUCCACUAGGUGGGACAGCCCCACGUUCCCACCGGGGAUGGGCAGGAGGGAAAUGAAGGAUGAUGGCAGCUUUGCAGGACGGCAGCACAGAUUUUACAAAAACGCACACCACUGCUGUGUGACAGCACCCACAGACUUUUUUCCCAGCCACUUAGACAAUCUUGUUUUCCCCGUGUGGUCUAGUCCUCAAACCUCUCUGAAUCGUUCCCUGUGUUACAGGUAGCUUCUGUGUUUUUUGCUAAACCUUGAGUUUUUAUGCUCCACCUC